rnacentral:rRNA from 1 species
UAACAACCUGGAAACAGAUGCUAAUACCGGAUAACAACAGAUGAUGCCUAUCAACUGUUUAAAAGAUGGUUCUGCUAUCACUCUUGGAUGGACCUGCGGUGCAUUAGCUAGUUGGUAGGGUAACGGCCUACCAAGGCGAUGAUGCAUAGCCGAGUUGAGAGACUGAUCGGCCACAUUGGGACUGAGACAAGGCCCAAACUCCUACGGGAGGCAGCAGUC